rnacentral:ncRNA from 1 species
UAUAUUGGCAAAUUUGGAGAAAUCCAAAGACGCAAAGCUAAAGGGGCUACGGUAAAAUUAAUUAUUUAAAUAAUAUAAUUUGCUAUGCCAGCCAGUUGCCUA